AAUCAGCAGUGCAUGUAAGAAUAUAUGAGGAUUUAACCAUGAAGCAAAGACAGCGGAAUCCGAGGACAGCAGCAGCGGUGGUGAAGACAGGGGCAUGACGCGGGGUGAGAGGGGCACGGAGGACACGGUACUGCGGCCGGAAGACACGAACCACAUCGGGCUGAAGGCGAGGAGGAUGCACGCUGAGGAGGUGAAGAUCAGUCUGUUGGAGUGUGAUGGGUAAUAAGACCAGCGGCAACAUGGACAAAGACACAGGGACCACACAAGGAGAAGACAUGGGAGCCAAAGACGUUAUUUCAGGAAGCGUCUCGGGAGAGGGAGAUCUCAUCCCCAGUACAGAGC